rnacentral:lncRNA from 1 species
AAACACGCCAGCAGCCAGAUCCCUCCGGGAUGACAAAUGGCUUCCUCUCCACGGUGGGGGUGCACCUCGGAGCAGCCGGAGCCCGCACCCGGCAAAGGCCCCACAAGGCCCCACAGGGAGACGCUGCUGCCGCAGAAUCCCACAACCCUGGCCCGUCCCCAGGCACCGGGAUGCCGCCCUCUUCAUGCCAGCCCCGCACGACAGGGGAAUUACAGUGAAUUGGGGACCGUGUGGUGACACGCUGCCUGUCCCCGGGAGCGAGCGAAGGACCUCCCGGGACAAUCAGAUCCCUGGAAGUGGGGGCAGGAGCCGGAGGUGACUCGGUGCUCCCUGGGGACAGGAAGUGUGCUGGCCCCACCUUUAGGAAUCGAGGGUCCACCCCUGUCCCUGGGCUUCUUGCUCCCCAGGAAUGUGGACGGGCAGUGGCUGAAGUCCAGGUCCCCUGCCUUCAGGAAGGUGGCCACCCCCACGAGACGAUCAUGGCAGCUCCGGAAGGACAUUGAAGGGCAAGAGGAGCCCAGGGCAGUCCACUGACAGCGCUUUUAAACGAGUCCAGGUGAAGCUAUUUAUACAGAGUCCAAAUCAGGGGCAUAUGCACGGCCCCCGGGCUCAGGGUGGAGGCGGCAGAGCCCCCCUCGCGGCUCACAGCUCCGUUUGCUCAUCUGCCUCGACAUCUGAGAUGCA